rnacentral:rRNA from 1 species
AGCUCCAAUAGCGUAUAUUAAAGUUGUUGCGGUUAAAAAGCUCGUAGUUGGAUCUCGGCGGCCAGGGGGCGGUUCGGCGCAUCGUUCGCCGCGACUGCCCCAUUUGGCCGUGUUGGUGCGGCGGAGGCCGCGGGGUGCCCUUCGUUGGGUGUCCCGUCACUUAGGCGCCGUCGGGUUUACUUUGAAAAAAUUAGAGUGCUCAAAGCAGGCCGCUCGCGCGCCUGGAUACUUCGUGCAUGGAAUAAUGGAAUAGGAGCUCGUUUCUAUUUUGUUGGUUUUCGGAAUUCGAGCUAAUGAUUAGCAGGGACAAUUGGGGGCAUUAGUAUUCAGGCGACAGAGGUGAAAUUCUUGGACCGUCUGAAGACUGACGACUGCGAAAGCAUUUGCCAAGAGUGUUUUC